GUCGUUCGCUACAAUUAAAUGUCGUAACGACUCUCGGCAACGGAUAUCUCGGCUCUCGCAUCGAUGAAGAACGUAGCGAAAUGCGAUACUUGGUGUGAAUUGCAGAAUCCCGUGAACCAUCGAGUCUUUGAACGCAAGUUGCGCCCGAAGCCGUUAGGCCGA
rnacentral:rRNA from 5 species